CAAAAUUCUUUAUCUUUUUUUUUUCUUGAAUUUACCACUGUAUUAGUUUCAGCCAAUCUUAAUUUUUCACAGAGAUAUCAGAAAUCUCUGAGAAUGUAGUCAACAAUCAAACCACAUCAUCACUUGAGUCUUCCUCAAAUGGAGAACCUCAAAGUAUGAGCCUGACUUGUCGACUUGACGGAAAAAAUUACCUUCAGUGGUCACAGAUUGUGAAAACAUUUCUCAAGGAAAAAGGGAAGCUGAGCCAUCUAGAUGGAAUUGGUCCGAGCGCUGGCGAUUCCAACUUUGAUGCAUGGGAUGUAGAAGAUUCA
rnacentral:misc_RNA from 1 species